GACGAACGCUGGCGGCGUGCCUAAUACAUGCAAGUAGAACGCACAGUUUAUACCGUAGCUUGCUACACCAUAAACUGUGAGUUGCGAACGGGUGAGUAACGCGUAGGUAACCUGCCUGGUAGCGGGGGAUAACUAUUGGAAACGAUAGCUAAUACCGCAUAAUAUUGAUUAUUGCAUGAUAAUUGAUUGAAAGAUGCUAUUGCAUCACUACCAGAUGGACCUGCGUUGUAUUAGCUAGUAGGUGAGGUAACGGCUCACCUAGGCGACGAUACAUAGCCGACCUGAGAGGGUGAUCGGCCACACUGGGACUGAGACACGGCCCAGACUCCUACGGGAGGCAGCAGUAGGGAAUCUUCGGCAAUAGACGAAAGUCUGACCGAGCAACGCCGCGUGAGUGAAGAAGGUUUUCGGAUCGUAAAGCUCGGUUGUAAGAGAAGAACGGGUGUGAGAGUGGAAAGUUCACACUGUGACGGUAUCUUACCAGAAAGGGACGGCUAACUACGUG
rnacentral:rRNA from 1 species